rnacentral:rRNA from 1 species
GACGUAGGGUGCGAGCGUUGUCCGGAUUUAUUGGGCGUAAAGAGCUCGUAGGCGGCUCGUCGCGUCGACCGUGAAAACCCGCGGCUUAACUGCGGGCUUGCGGUUGAUACGGGCGGGCUAGAGUUCGGUAGGGGAGACUGGAAUUCCUGGUGUAGCGGUGAAAUGCGUAGAUAUCUGGAGGAACACCGGUGGCGAAGGCAGGUCUCUGGGCAUUAACUGACGCUGAGGAGCGAAAGCAUGGGGAGCGAACAGG